rnacentral:misc_RNA from 1 species
CGAGUCUCUAUUUUCAAGCAACCCUAAAGUUUCUCCAUGGAGCAUCCUUGUUAGAAUCAUGCAACGACAGUGCCAAACACAGUGAAAUGAAUCAGUCGAGGCAAAUUUAUAGCAGCACUGCGAAACUGUGCGAGUUUGUCGCCCAUGAAUAUGAGAGAUUGAAAGACAUGGCUGCUGUUUCACUGUCCUAUAAAUGCAUGGAGGUUGCGUACCUGCGAGUAAUUUAUUCCUCUAAUUUCAAUGCAAACAGAUAUAGAAAUGAACUACAAACAGCCCUGCAAAUUUUUCCUCCAGGUGAAUCCCCUUCCUCUUCUGCCUCAGAUGUUGACAAUUUGAACAAUCCAACUAUUGUAGACAAGGUUACCAUGGCGAAAGGUGUUGCUUCUCCCCAGGUUACCGGAACUCAUGCUGUCUCAGCGAGAAACCGUGCUAGCUUCACGCGGCUAUUUAACUUUGCACAGGAAGUUUAUUUAGCUAUGGACGCCUCCAGGAAAUCACGUGUUGCUUUUGCAGCUGCUUAUCCUGGACACAGUGAUACACAGUGUAAAGUGCCUGCAUUAUCCGUAAAGAAGGCCCUUGAUUUCAGCUUCCAUGAUGUCGACGACUUCUUACGUUUAGUCCGGAUUGCCAUGGAAGCUAUUAGCCGUUGACAUGUAAAUUAUGGCUAAAACCGUGUGAAUCCAUGAGACAAGACUCUUGAACCUG